rnacentral:rRNA from 1 species
UACGUAGGGCGCGAGCGUUAAUCGGAAUUACUGGGCGUAAAGCGUGCGCAGGCGGUGAUGUAAGACCGAUGUGAAAUCCCCGGGCUUAACCUGGGAACUGCAUUUGUGACUGCAUCGCUGGAGUGCGGCAGAGGGGGAUGGAAUUCCGCGUGUAGCAGUGAAAUGCGUAGAUAUGCGGAGGAACACCGAUGGCGAAGGCAAUCCCCUGGGCCUGCACUGACGCUCAUGCACGAAAGCGUGGGGAGCAAACAGG